rnacentral:rRNA from 1 species
AUUGAACGCUGGCGGCAGGCCUAACACAUGCAAGUCGAACGAGUGGCGGACGGGUGAGUAAUGUCUGGGAAACUGCCUGUUGGAGGGGGAUAACUACUGGAAACGGUAGCUAAUACCGCAUACCAUCGGAUGUUCCCCGAUGGGAUUAGCUAGUAGGUGGGGUAACGGCUCACCUAGGCGACGAUCCCUAGCUGGUCUGAGAGGUUGACCUGCCACACUGGACCUGAGACACGGUCCAGACUCCUACGGGAGGCAGCGGUGGGGAAUAUUGCACAAUGGGCGCAAGCCGGAUGCAGCCAGGCCGCGUGUAUGAGGAAGGCCUUCGGGUUGUAAAGUACGUUCAUCGGGGAGGCGUUACCCGCAUAAGAAGCACAGGCUAACUCCGUGCCAGCAGCCGCGGUAAUUC